rnacentral:rRNA from 1 species
CCUACGGGAGGCAGCAGUGGGGAAUAUUGCACAAUGGGGGAAACCCUGAUGCAGCGACGCCGCGUGAGUGAAGAAGUAUUUCGGUACGUAAAGCUCUAUCAGCAGGGAAGAAAAUGACGGUACCUGACUAAGAAGCCCCGGCUAACUACGUUCCAGCAGCCGCGGUAAUACGUAGGGGGCAAGCGUUAUCCGGAUUUACUGGGUGUAAAGGGAGCGUAGACGGCAGCGCAAGUCUGGAGUGAAAUCCCAUGGCUUAACCAGGGAACUGCUUUGGAAACUGUGCAGCUAGAGUGCAGGAGAGGUAAGCGGAAUUCCUAGUGUAGCGGUGAAAUGCGUAGAUAUUAGGAGGAACACCAGUGGCGAAGGCGGCUUACUGGACUGUAACUGACGUUGAGGCUCGAAAGCGUGGGGAGCAAACAGGAUUAGAUACCCCUGUAGUC